UUGUUUUGUUUUUUUUUUCUUUUUUUGCUUUUCUUCCUUUGCUUCUCACCCUCUUUGGAUACAAUCAAAAAACGAUGAAACCCGACGAAAUCAAAACGAUCGAAGUUGUGAUCGUUUUCCAGAAACAAUAGAUCUCGCCUCGUCGUCUUCUUCUUCCUCGAAACUUCCAAUUUGGUGUGGAACUCCUCCUCUCUCGCUCUCUCUCUCUCGGCGUCUCUGUGUCUUGUUGCUGAAUGAACAAGCUAGCUCCAGGGCUCUCAACCGCUCAAGUAUAGUGAAGGUGUGUUACGUGAGUGUAAUCAAACCCGAAUUUGCCAAUACGAAGAGUGGGAAGAACAUAGUUAAGAUAUGGCCAACUUCAUUCCAUGCACUCCCCAACCUAAUAAGCUCCAUAUCUUUUUGUUAGAUUUUGGUUUCUUGGAUCUUAUUUUGUAACCAAAGAAGUCUACAUUGUCUUUCUUUCUUUCAAUGGUUUACAAUGGUUUCAUUACAUAGAAAAAUGACCUCAAUUUUACCACA